UACGGAGGGUGCGCGCGUUAACCGGAAUAACUGGGCGUAAAGCGCGCGUAGGCGGUUUGUUAAGUGGGAUGUGAAAUCCCCGGGCUCAACCUGGGAAUGGCAUUCGAUACUGGCCGACUAGGGUACGAGAGAGGGAGGUAGAAUUCCACGUGUACCGGUGAAAUGCGUAGAUAUGUGGAGGAAUACCGGUGGCGAAGGCGGCCUCCUGGCUCGAUACUGACGCUGAGGUGCGAAAGCGUGGGUAGCAAACAGG
rnacentral:rRNA from 1 species